UACGUAGGGUCCGAGCGUUGUCCGGAGUUACUGGGCGUAAAGAGCGCGCAGGCGGCUUGGUAAGUCGGAUGUGAAAGCCCCCGGCUCAACUGGGGAGGGUCACGCGAUACUGAUCGACUCGAAGGCAGGAGAGGGUAGUGGAAUUCCCGGUGUAGUGGUGAAAUGCGUAGAUAUCGGGAGGAACACCAGUGGCGAAGGCGACUACCUGGCCUGUUCUUGACGCUGAGGCGCGGAAAGCUAGGGGAGCAAACGGGGAUUAAGAAACCCUAGUAACG
rnacentral:rRNA from 1 species